AGUGAACGCUGGCGGUAGGCCUAACACAUGCAAGUCGAACGGCAGCACAGUAAGAGCUUGCUCUUACGGGUGGCGAGUGGCGGAUGGGUGAGGAAUACAUCGGAAUCUACUUUUUCGUGGGGGAUAACGUAGGGAAACUUACGCUAAUACCGCAUACGACCUACGGCUGAAAGCAGUGGAUCUUCGGACCUUGUGCGAUUGAAUGAGCCGAUGUCGGAUUAGCUAGUUGGCGGGGUAAAGGCCCACCAAGGCGACGAUCCGUAGCUGGUCUGAGAGGAUGAUCAGCCACACUGGAACUGAGACACGGUCCAGACUCCUACGGGAGGCAGCAGUGGGGAAUAUUGGACAAUGGGCGCAAGCCUGAUCCAGCCAUACCGCGUGGGUGAAGAAGGCCUUCGGGUUGUAAAGCCCUUUUGUUGGGAAAGAAAAGCAGCAGGUUAAUACCCCGCUGUUCUGACGGUACCCAAAGAAUAAGCACCGGCUAACUUCGUG
rnacentral:rRNA from 1 species